rnacentral:tRNA from 1 species
AAGGCUUUAAGUUAAAAAAAACUAAUAUCCUUCAAAGCUAUAAAUAAAGAGGUUUCUUUAAGCCUUA